GACUUGCAAAUUGAUAUUGCUUUCUGGCAAUAAGGAAUUGCUUCCUGAGGCUUAGAGCCAAUCUCCAAACACAAACAUAUACGGAAAUUUAGUUCAGCUAUAUGUCUACUGUCUGGUUCAACAAGCCGUUCUAGAAUGGACAAUGCUUUCUGGUAGUCACUGAGAGAUGUUUCAAUAUCCUCUCUUUCCAAAGCAACUUCUGCCAAUGCUGAUAGCACAUCCACUUUAUCCAUUGUGUCCCCUGAGUGUCUUUCAGCAAUUGCCCUGGCAACAUCUAGCAUUUUCCAAGCCAAGUCAAGGUCAGACUCAUCUUCAUCUGCUUCUGCCAAGUCUUCAUCAUCACUAUUCUCA
rnacentral:misc_RNA from 1 species